CAGAGGGUGCGAGCGUUAAUCGGAAUUACUGGGCGUAAAGCGUGCGUAGACGGUUAUUUAAGUCGGAUGUGAAAGCCCCGGGCUCAACCUGGGAAUUGCAUUCGAGACUGAAUAGCUAGGGUGCGGUAGAGGGAAGCGGAAUUUCCGGUGUAGCGGUGAAAUGCGUAGAUAUCGGAAGGAACAUCAGUGGCGAAAGCGGCUUCCUGGACCAGCACCGACGUUCAGGUACGAAAGCGUGGGGAGCAAACAGGAUUAGAUACCCUGGUAGUCCACGCCAUAAACGAUGAGGACUAGACGUUGGAGGGGUAAGCCUUUCAGUGUCGUAGCUAACGCGCUAAGUCCUCCGCCUGGGGAGUACGGCCGCAAGGUUG
rnacentral:rRNA from 1 species